rnacentral:Y_RNA from 1 species
GACUGGCUCAAUAGUAGUGGGUUAUCAGAACCUAUUAACAUUAGUGUAACUAAAAGUUGGUUACAACCCCCACCCACUGCUAAAUUUGACUGGCUAAA